GGCCCAGGGAUUAAUAUGGUCAAAAAUAGAAAUUCUUGUUCCAUGCACAUAUCCGGCGGUAAAUUGUACGACGUAAGAAUGACUGGCCACAAAGAAUAUUGUCUACCAGACAUUCCAAAUGGACUAAAUCCAUCGGUGCAUAACCCAAGAUAGACAUUUCGAAUAUUUGUAGCAAAAUUUGCGUGUACCUUGUUGAAAUGUUUCCACGCUCUUGCGUCUGAUGGAUGUGCAACCUCACCAUCUCUCUGGACAUGUUCCGCAUGCCAACUCAUCGACGCAACAGUCCUCUCAGAUUGAUAUAAUCUUUUCAAUCUGUCUGUAAUUGGU
rnacentral:lncRNA from 1 species